rnacentral:rRNA from 1 species
CUACUAGGGUUUCUAAUCCUGUUUGCUACCCACGCUUUCGAGCAUGAACGUCAGUGUUAUCCCAGGGGGCUGCCUUCGCCAUCGGUAUUCCUCCACAUCUCUACGCAUUUCACUGCUACACGUGGAAUUCUACCCCCCUCUGACACACUCUAGCCUGCCAGUUCAGAACGCAGUUCCCAGGUUGAGCCCGGGGAUUUCACAUCCUGCUUAACAAACCGUCUGCGCUCGCUUUACGCCCAGUAAUUCCGAUUAACGCUCGCACCCUACGUAUUACCGCGGCUGCUGGCAC